rnacentral:lncRNA from 10 species
GACUGGGUGGAUGAGGCUCACCCCGGCGGGGAGAAGGGACGAGGAGGGGCGGACAGCGGAAGGUCCGGGAGUGUCCGCCAUAAAGUCGUUUGAGUUUUAACUUCUAGUCAUGGCGAAUGAUCGCAGGAGAGCACAGACUGGACCCUGCUACGAUCUCUCUUGGAGUGGAUCAGACUGAUGAUCACCAACAACCAACUCAUUCCCGGAUAAGGAAGAAGAGAGUGUCACCUACUUCAGUGUGGUUUCAACCCUACUUCUGCAUCUUAAAGACACUUGUACAACGUUGGACACUGUGCAGGAUGAUGCCACUUCAUCUUGGAUGCUAAUCUGCCAUGUUGACUUCUGAUUAACCCCAGGCCCAGGAAUGCCUCAAGAUUUCUACUUUACUUACUGUUGCUUGUGUAAGCCAAGACAACCUUGAUGUUAUCAUAAACAUGUACUUACCUAAGUCCUGUCCUUUGGCAAAUUAUGGGCUAUGAGACACAGCAUUCUUGCCUUUCCCUGAGGGGUCAAUUUCAGCGAUCCUACACAUUCCUUCUGAAGCACUUAUGCUCUUUCUAUAUGGUAUGUAAGCUCUCGGUCUGGGGAGUAACAGUGCAGAGAUCUACCUGUCUUGUUGCCACAUGUUUCUAAACUUUCCAAUAAAUCACCUUCUACUGACAAACUGG